UUCUUCAGGGACCCCCACAGCCCACCAAACUUCUCCAUCCAUGAGCCCCAUGGACCUGUGGCCGGGAAGGUGUGGUUUUGGCCGAAGAUGAGGUGUUUUGGUAGCCCUGUGGAUGCUGUGUGGUGUCUGGAAUGGGGCGUGUGUGUUCCCAUCAUGCCCCUUCCCCUCUGCCUGCAGAGCUGAGGACAGACAGGUCUGAGGAGCACAGCAGGAGCUCCGGGAAGGAGAAGAGCAAUAUGAAGAUGGAGUGUAAGAUGAGGCCAGGUAACUUCUGUGGAGGGAGACAUGCUGGACAGCACCAAGGAUUGGGGAGACAACCAGGUGCUUCAAGGGAGAUGAUGUUGCCAUUUGCGAGGGCUGAUCAUCUCUCUGGCCAGGAGUGGUGUGUGCUCACUAGCAGAAAGUUGCAUCCAUGAGGGUGACUCCCUGUUCUGAAUUUCUUUCUUCCUCCUAGGUUUUUCUC